ACCCAUUUUGUUGGACGAUGAAAUGGAAUAGCCCCUAA
rnacentral:rRNA from 1 species